UACAGAGGUCCCAAGCGUUGUUCGGAUUCACUGGGCGUAAAGGGUGCGUAGGUGGUCGGGUAAGUCUGAUGUGAAAUCUCCGAGCUUAACUCGGAAACUGCAUCGGAUACUAUUUGGCUAGAGGGUUGGAGGGGGGACUGGAAUACUUGGUGUAGCAGUGAAAUGCGUAGAUAUCAAGUGGAACCCCAGUGGCGAGGGCGAGUCCCUGGGCAACUCCUGACACUGAGGCACGAAAGCUAGGGGAUCAAUCAGG
rnacentral:rRNA from 1 species